GUUGAAGGACAAGAAGGCUGAGUCUGACGAAUGAAAACUUGUUGACACAUUCCUCCUAGACAAAGGGGUGGUGAGAGCAGCACUUACUGGAGACACCCCAGGCUGGACUGUACUCCCCAACAUUA